CCUACGGGGGGCAGCAGUGAGGAUUAUUGGUCAAUGGACGAGAGUCUGAACCAGCCAAGUAGCGUGAAGGAUGACUGCCCUAUGGGUUGUAAACUUCUUUUAUAUGGGAAUAAAAUGUUCCACGUGUGGGAUUUUGUAUGUACCAUAUGAAUAAGGAUCGGCUAACUCCGUGCCAGCAGCCGCGGUAAUACGGAGGAUCCGAGCGUUAUCCGGAUUUAUUGGGUUUAAAGGGAGCGUAGGUGGAUUGUUAAGUCAGUUGUGAAAGUUUGCGGCUCAACCGUAAAAUUGCAGUUGAAACUGGCAGUCUUGAGUACAGUAGAGGUGGGCGGAAUUCGUGGUGUAGCGGUGAAAUGCUUAGAUAUCACGAAGAACUCCGAUUGCGAAGGCAGUUCACUGGACUGCAACUGACACUGAGGCUCGAAAGUGUGGGUAUCAAACAGGAUUAGAUACCCGUGUAGUC
rnacentral:rRNA from 1 species